rnacentral:piRNA from 1 species
UAUGGCCUUCAGUGUUGGUUGCCUCUUGGU